rnacentral:rRNA from 1 species
AAUAGAUACCCAGGUAGUCCUGGCCGUAAACGAUGUCGACUAGGUGUCGGGGGUAUCGACCCCCUCGGCGCCGCAGCUAACGCAUUAAGUCGACCGCCUGGGGACUACGGCCGCAAGGCUAAAACUCAAAGGAAUUGACGGGGGCCCGCGACAAGCAGCGGAGCGUGUGGUUUAAUUCGAUGCAACGCGCAGAACCUUACCUCGACUUGACAUGCACGUGGUACCAAGGUGUAAGCCAAGGGACCCGCGAGGGAGCGUGCACAGAUGCUGCAUGGCUGUCGUCAGCUCGUGCCGUGAGGUGUUGGGUUAAGUCCCGCAACGAGCGCAACCCUCGCCCUUAGUUGCCAUCAUUUAGUUGGGCACUCUAAGGGGACUGCCGGUGAUAAGCCGCGAGGAAGGUGGGGAUGACGUCAAGUCCUCAUGGCCCUUACGGGCUGGGCUACACACGUGCUACAAUGGCGGUGACAAUGGGACGCAAUGGAGCAAUCCUGCGCAAAUCUCAAAAAGCCGUCUCAGUUCGGAUUGGGGU